ensembl:snoRNA
AGCCUCCCCCUGCUUACUGCAGGCUGUGUUCCUGUACUGAGUGUGUAGAAAGAGGAGGUAAAGUAAACCUGCCCUCAUGUACACCACAGCCCAAGCCACUGCUCCUGGUCUGUACCAUGAAUGGGGAGACACAG